AGCGCGAUGGCCGAGUGGUUAAGGCGUUGGACUUAAGUUCCAAUGUCCGCGUGGGUUCGAACCAGACUCGUGCAA
rfam:Octopus bimaculoides Scaffold41885_contig_27, whole genome shotgun sequence.